GGGAGCGCAGGGCCGGGGCAGCAGCCUGCUCCUUCGGGGGAGCGGGGGCGUCGUGCCGGCAGGUAUCCCCCGGGGGAGAGGAGGGGGAGAGGGGGGAACCUCCCCCUCCGUCCGGGCGGCGGGCGGGGAUGUGCCAUUUCUCUUCCCGAAAAACGAUGCGGGACGCCAGGGCCGGGCCCGGCAGGGAGCGCCGCCCUCCGGAGCUGUGGCUUGUGCCGCUCCGGGUGGGGUGUUCAUCGCUCAGGUGAAGGGAGAGGAGACUUCGCACUUGCACUCGCUUGUCUUCUCUGUGGCUGUCCUAGGAAGAUUUUUCAUGAUAGCGGCAUUUCAAAAAGGAAAAGUUGCAGUCUUUUCCCUUCUUUUCAUUCACUCUGGAAUAGAAAGUGAGCAACAAGCUGCUCCCCUGCUUCCCAUGUAUCAGGCAGUACUUGAACCCAUCUCAUGUAACAGGAGAAAAGGAGAAACCUCAACGUAGAUGAGGUGAAAGAGCAUCUUUCCAUUCAACUCUGACUGUGAUACCUUUGGAAGGAAGAAUACUUUAUGGAGAAGGAUAAUGUCAUAGGUAAGGCUGAGGGCUAUAUAUACAGGUUCUUUCUGUGGUUCUGCCAAUGACCUUUUAUCUGAUAUGGAGAACCUACUACCUCUAUACUACAUUUUUCUCAUCUUCAAAAAGAGGAAAAUACCUACCUCAAGGAAUCCACAGAUAUGAGUUUAUUAACUUUUUUAAAGGAAUAUGAGAUCUCAAAGGAUUAUGUGAGUGCACAACAUUACUGAUUGUCCCACUCCUGUGUUACAGAAAACUGUUAUGCAAGAACACAAUGAAAAACUAUUUUCCUUUUCCCUUUCUGAUUUCUUGUGCCGAUUUUAUAUUUUGGGGUGUGUGUAUAGAUAUUAUACUUAGAAAUUACAUUAGGUCAUUUCCAGGUUGCUAGUAGAAGGUGGCAGACCUAUCUAUCCCAUAUUAUGAAGUAUCUUGAGAGCUGGCAUAUUGGAAAUCUAGAUCUCUGAACAUGCCAAAGAAUUUUAACUUCAGUCUUUUUUUCUGUCUACAUUUCACUUGACAUGUUUACCUUUUUGUAGGAUAUUACUGAAAGGUGUUUGAAUCCUGGAGGGGUAGAUUUUAACCAAACAUCUGAAACAUGUUAUUGAGUAAAUCUCCGUGCUUCUCUCAGUCAUUCGUAUUGGACAUACUCCACUUCACAUGGUUAACUGCAUUAUCUGUUUGGAGAGAGCAUAAGGGAAGAUGACUUAAUAGUCCAGAAAGCAGAAAACCUGCUGGGUGUGUGGGAGUGUGAGGUUCAGAUCCAUGGACUGAAAUAAGCAAAGCAAGAACGUCAUGGUUGGAUUCUUACUCCCACGUGCCUGCCUGAAACUCUUUUAAGGUCAGUGAACAUCUGUCUUCCGUCUGAAUUUGACCAGAUAAGCCUUGUCCUUUACAAGUAGUGUGAGUGCUUCUCAGUCAUACUUUUCUAUUUGGACAGAUCAACAGUUUCUGACAAACAACUAUCUUAUCACAAAAUUUUCUGUCAGUUUUACUUCAAACAAACCUACUCUGCAAUAAAAAAGCUCAGUGGUAGAACACACAGGGAGUGACUUGCUGAACAAAAAAAGCCCCAUUUGUUUAACCAAUUCUCUCUGUUGCCCAACAUCAUCUAGGUUAGAAGUUCCUGGUAUGUGGGCUGGGGGUCAUCAUGGGAUCAUACUAAAUAUUAAAACCAAAGAAUGCAUCAUUUUUGCCUGACAGUGUAUUUUUAUGAGCAGCAGCCACUUUCCUCCAGGGACCUGCUUUUCAGUCAGAGGAUAUGAACCAUACCUGCUGCAGCAGAGAAACUGCUGAGUGAAAAGGAAUAUGUUCCAUGGACAGAGAUGUGGCUUUUGCUGGCGGUACUUUACUGUGUUACAUGCCUCACGAUGUAAUGAUGUAAAAAUUUGGACACAGAGGGAAGAAAAGCAUUAGACAGACCAACAUGAGGCAUGGAGUAACGGUGAGUUUCACACAGGUGAAUAUUUGACUCUUCAUUAAAUUUCAAUGGUAUUUGUACUGGCUAUGAAAUUAGACUUUUGCCAGACUUGGGCUAAUAAAGGGCAAUACCAAACACACCUAGUCAUGGAAAUAUGAAAAAAGAUGUUACUGUGGAGAAAAGUAGAUAUAAUAACUGAUCCUGUUCCUAUGGUCAGACUUUGCUGCAGCAGGUGCCAAGGUGUUGGUGUUGGAAGGUGUUGGAAAAGUGCUGGAACUACAGAAACUGCAGCUGGCUCUAUACCAUCUCCUGGCUUCUGAGCAGAAGGAAUCUUUGCUCCUGCCAAUAUAAAAUAGGUCCAGCAGUGGUUCUGAGACAAAGCAGCGCUACUGAAUAACAAUCAAAUUCACUUGAAAAUCCAACUCAAAGCACUUGAAUGAGCAGUUUACCUGGGGGCUGUUCCACAAUUGCUUGAAGUCACCAAAAGGACUUUCACAGAGUUCAGCAGGUGCUGAAUCAGGCAAGUUCUUAGCAGAAAGGAAGACACGACUGUUUUAUGGGCUUCAAGAAAACCACAGCCAACGAAAUGUAAGAGCUACUGUGUUAUAAUACCUUAAUAAUGGUAUCUUACUUUGCAAUUGAAGGAGACUGGGAAUGUAGUCUCACAGAUGUGAAUGCCCAAAAGAUACAUCUGGAUAAACACUAUGGACAUGAGGUAGACACAUCAAUGGACUUAUUUUUCUAGUUUGGAUCAAAAGAGAGUUUGUCAAUUCCUUGCUGUCUCAGAGUUCACCCUAUGAAUUGGUCUUGGAGCAUGCAGACUGGAUUUUUAUUUUUUUUUUCAAUAAAACUAAUCUGGUAGAAAUGCUGCAGGAAGAUACCUGCACUCCCACUGCUAAUGGGUGUUGAACAAGUGGGAUCAGACUAGAUCUAGUUUUCAGCAAGAACUUUAAACUGAAUGUGGACAUCACAUCCUUGUGGUCAACUCUUCUACCUCCCAGAUUCUCUCCUUGUGAAAUACUAUCUGCUGAGGUUAGAUAUAGCUUAAAUGAAUUAAAUUCAAUAAUUUGUCUCUGAUUGAAGAGAUCUGACCUGAACAUCUACGCAUGCAUUAAGGUCUGUGAGAAGUUAACCUUCAUUGCAACUUACCCUUCCCUUUUGUAUUUAUGUAUCUUGUCUCUGUUUGUGGCAUGUGGAAGCAAACAUUGCUUAUCACCUUCUAUUUUUCUCUGUGCUUAAUUACGUUGCAAUAAAUGUUAACCCUUUAUAAUUCUUUAGAAUGAGCAGAAGCAGAUGCUGCUACAACCUAGAUGGUGUUUUUUGUCAUGUCAUUUCUAUGCUUUGUGUGAGUACAUCCUGCCACUUCCCUCAUUGUCUGCUCUGCAGUCUUCUAUUAUCAUCUGUCCCACAUUAACCUGUGUGAGACUUUACUGGGAUAAGAGCACCUGAAGGGGCUUUGGCUUCUGUGUUGUCUUACCACUCACUGCUACAACAUAGGAAUAUACAUGAAGACUCCUUCUUUUUACACAGGUAAAGACAAAACUCCCAAAAAAGUAAUAUUUAUACUUUUUGCAUUACAGUGACGCAUCUCAGAUUCUCUUAAACAGAAAAUGUGAAUGUUUUUGUGGGAGUGACAAAUCUGCUAUUCAGCCCAAGAAAUGAAACAGUAAAGCUAGUACUAACAAAACUGUUUCAUGAUGGUGACAUAACACAUAAGCAACCCAUGAAUAAUUUAUUUUUGUGGGCCUGAUAAUCCAGGUGCUGACAAAUUGUCUCCAGUAUUUCUGUCACUUAACAGUAUCCUUAGACUGCUUUUAAUUAUAGACUUCAUCACCUACCAUGGAAGUACAAGGGGCUGAAGCAUAUCUCCUUCAUUCCCUAAUUUCUGCUUCUGACAUCCUUGUGGAAGUUGCUUCUCGAAAACCUUCUCUUCUGUAUUUGGCUGUUAUAAGACUUGUGUGUGGACAUUAACCUCCAUCCCUGACGCCUUGUGAAUUUGGGUCCCGUCUGGAAUCCUGGCAGCCGGCUACCUGUCAGCGAUUUAAUGGAAGGAUCUUGACGUCAUCAGUUUCAAGCUCUCUGAGCAGGAAAAUGAGAUGGGGGUUUCAUAUUUCAAAGAACAACAGAGCUCAGGGAUGGUUUUUUAAAUCGAAAUUCUGGCUGCAGGAGUCAUUAAAUAUAGUUCUGCUUCUCUUCUAGACUGUGAGAUCAAACAGCACAGGCAAUAGCAGGAAUAUUUGCUCACUUACAUGUGCAAUUUUUGCAGAUUGGUUGGCUUCACUCUGAAACUUACUAUAAAAAGGACAUAAAAAUAUCUUUCACAUGUCUGGAUUUGUGCUGAAAAAAUCCCGUACUAAAACGUUUUUUUUUUUCCUCCAAAGUGUUUGAACUUUUUCUUCGUUGAUAUUCAAGUUUAAAACUUGUUUUUCUGGAGUCUGUUGAUAGCUGAUUGGAGAAAGUACAUAGUUUGAAAUUAACUCACUUUUGACUAGGUGAACAGUAUUUGAUUUGAAGGAUCUGGUAUGAAAAUCAUUAAUUUUCACCAUAAUCCAGCCUUGUAAUGCUGAAAGAACUCAUAAAAUGUCAUGGCUAAUUUAGUUGCCUCCAAGACUAUAAUCCAGAAAUCUUGUCUCCAUGCUCACCAUGCUCACUAUAGAAGCAAAAUUUUCACUAAAUUCAUCAAACUAGGGAACAAUGUCUUUCACCUUAGGAUUGAGAUCAUAUAGCAAAAAUAAGUGCCCUAUUCAUGACCUAUAAAAGGGACAGGGUUUAUAUCCAAUUUAUCACAUCUCAGAUUCACAAACCCCAAAAUAUGGAAUCAGCCAGUUUAAUGCAGUAGGGUACUGAAACAGAAAUUCAAGUUGUGGUGUGUUGGGUUUUUUUUAGGGUGCUUAACCAGGAGUAUAUGUGCAUGUGUAAUCUCCAGUUAUUGUGUCUGGACAAUGCUGAUUUGUUGCAGUAAGAAAUGUGGAGUAUUUGGAAACAAUUUCAUUAAUUAAACAAAAGGCUGUCUUAAUGUAGGUUAAUGUAUUACAUUUAAGGAGUUUAUUUCAAAAUCAUACUCUUUACAUGUAUUGAGUAGCCAAAGUAAGAAAGAAAUAGAAUUGUUUAUUAAUAUAAAAUACCAAAUUAAUUUCUUUUACUUCCUGGGAGUUUUAAAGUAAUAAAUUCAGAAUGUUUCUGAAUAAUCAGGAUUUAUACAUGUUUACACCAUUAUUUCUUCACUUUAAGACAUUAUUUAUUGUGUUUUCAAUAAAAAGAAACCUCCAAGCUAAUGGAACGCUGAAUUUUUUCUCUGUAGAUGACAGAAAUAAUCUGAACAUGAAUGUGGAAAUAUUAAAAAAUGCAAGAUAUGCAUCACUUGCAUAAAAUAUAUCAAAAGAAUCUGCAAAUUUUUGAGACACAGGACUCUCAAAUCUGAAGGACAACUUUGGGAUAUACCAAAAUAGAAGACUUAUAAUAAAUAUGUAUGGGAUCCAGUCAGAAACAUGCAGAAUCAUGUCAUCACAGUACAGACCCUGAAAGGCUGCCUACUGUACUGCACAAAGCAAAUUUCUGGAUCAUAAGAAUUCAUCAGCACAUUGGGGAGUCUCACUGAAUCCUUUGGAACAGGCAAUUGCAAGGACCCUUGCAAUGAAGGCUCAUGGAACUGUUUAUUCUAGGACUGACUGUCCUUUUUCAGAGGUUUGAUUCUCCAUGUGAGUCCUACUCCAUGAAAAGUCCCCAUGGUUUUUUUUUCUAGGCAACAUUGCGUGUUUGAGCAACAGCUGACAUCUAGAAAAAGAGAGUAUAUUAAAUCCUAGUGUAAGUACUUCUAACAAAGUUGUGUUGCUCUUUAGGUGAAGCUGGUAUUUUGGUAUUGCUAGUCCUUUGCGCCUUUUCACAAAUAAAUGGAAUCAUAGAAACAAAGAAUCAUAGAAUCAUAGAUUGGGUUGGGUUGGAAGGGAUGAUCCAUGAGCAGGGACAUCUUCAACUAGACCAGGUUGCUCAAAGCCCUAGCCAACCUGACCUUGAACACUUCCAGGGACUGGGCACCCACAGCUUCUCUGGGCAUCUAGUUCCAGUGCUUCACCACUGUCAUUGUAAAGAAUUUAUUCCUUAUAUCCAAUCCAAAUUUACCCUCUUUCAGUUUAAAACCAUUGCCCCUUGUGCUGUCACUACAGGAUCUGGCAAGAAGUCUUUCUUCAUCUUAUAAGCCCCCUCUAAAUAUUGAAAGGCUGUGUUAAGGUCUCCCCAGAGCCUUCUUUUCUUCAGGCUAAACUUAGAGGCUUAAAUACCCUCUAGAAAGUUCAAAAAAGUCCUCCUACUAUAUUUCAGCAUAGAAAUGAUAGAAAACCUUGGCUUGCUGCACUGCACAGAACUGUGGGAUGAGCUUCCUAGAAAUAAGAGACAUACAUGGCCAAGGACAGCAGAUCCAAGUCACUUGAAUCUCAGAUGCCUCCUCACCCUCACAGCAUGACUCAUUCGAGGUUAGGCUAGCUUUAGAGGAGCAAUUCAAGUGAGAAGUUAAGCCUCUGCAACGGAAAUGUACAUGUAGAAAAACUCCUAAAGAAAAUCGCAAAGUUCAAUGAUUUCAAGAACUACCCAUAAGAAAACCAGUAUUUCUACAGUGUCAGAAUUUUCUAUUAAAAAUCUAGAGUUUAAUAAAUCCUAAACCUGAUUUCUGAUGUGAGCCCUCACAUUCUUUUGAGCUCAAGGUUCACUGAACCAUUUGUGUGAAGAGGGGGGGGGGGGGGCAGAGCUGAGUUUUGCCAACUCUAAGCCUUUAAAAAUGGGCUUCUAAAAGUGCUGAACGACCUGCUAGGGAGUAGUUAGCAGGUCCUAUUGUUCUUUGUAGUCCUUUGGAAUUAAUGCAUAAUAAAAACUCUCUUUCUGAGAUUGUGUGUAGCAGCUGGAUAGAAGAUGAGAGCUGCUACUGGAGCAAGGCCAUCUAUACAGUGUGAGAAAGUAGACUUGGCAAAGGGCUCUGGCUGUACCAAGUGGGUCCCACUGGCAGAUGAAACUUUAGGAAGCUGUCUGAGUUAUCUUAUUAUGCAUCUGUUCUAGUUUAUCAAGGCACUCAGGGCAUUGGUUGAUCUGACAGACCUCUUGGAUUCAAGCUAAAUUACACCCCAUGCCAGCACUGUAUAUGCUGAAAUAAUAGUUCUUCUAUUAUGAGAUUAUUAUGAGAUUUAAAUUUAUACAUUAUUAGAAUUUGUUUUUCAGAUAAUGUUGCUGUUUUAAUGGGUUCACUGAGUACUUCUCAUUUACUUUUCUAGUCUUAAACAUAAUUAUACAGCACAAACAAUAAGAAUGGCAUUGAUAAUGAAAGCUUUGCAGUACUUACUGUCCAAACAUUUUUACAUUUUGAGAAGGUACUGCUUCUAAUGAAAUUUUUACAGCGUGAUUUAUUUUUUUUUAAUGUUCUCGCUGUAUUUUAAAGCUUAAUAGGUUUAUUUUCUGAGUCAAUAAUCCACUUUUGCACUUCCUGUGGGGUCGUGUACUAAGUAAACCUAUUUGCAUUAAAGAUGGUGACAUUUUAACAGUGAUUGGCUGCAAGAUUUGUUCAGUACUUUUGCCAAGCAGCAGUAUGCGCAGCUAGAAGAAUUCUUGAAAAUACCUUGUAAAAUUUUUCUUUUGGUGCCAUGGGCACCUCUCCAGAUAUUCUUUCCACUGUUCUCUUGCAGCCUGAAGCAACUCUAUUGGUUUGUAGCCUAGCCUUGUUUGUUUGUCAAGACAUCCUUGCAGCUAUAGAAUGAUUGCAGAGGUGAAGUUUGCAUGCCUGGACACUGCUACUCCUCCUACCAGCCUAAUUCUUCGCCAUAGCAGUUACAUCCCUCAAGACUGAUUAUAGAGCACUGGAACCCCCUCAGUCCAUCUAAAUACAUACCUUUGCUGUGGCCUUUCGGACCCUGAAUCCCCUGGGCUGUUCCCUGCUAAGUGAGUAGUUCCAGUUGUUCUAAUGCACAUCACUGUGCGGCCCAAUGUACAGGGCAUUUUCAAAACAUCAACUCAUGCGUGUUGCACAGUGUUAGAAAGAGCCAAGGGUCAAUUACACUCCUGGCUGCUCUGUAUAUUGUUUUGGCUGUGGCCAGGAUCAUUUCUGGCCUCACUGUUUCCUGGGAGUGAAAGGGAUUCACCAAUAUGCAUGUCAGGGUGAGCUGCCAAAAGAACAUUAACGGGUGUUGAAGCAGUGCCAGGGAGCAUGGACAUGAGCCAGGGGGUCAGCUGGCAAGGACAGGACCCCCCACGUACAGUGUAUAAGGACUUCCAUGUGCAAGCCUGAAAAGAGAGCAGGAAGAGGUGAAGGAGACAUUCAUCAAACCAAGAACAGGCGACAGUACUCAGGAAAAAUAGCAUCAGCAAAAGGGAGCAGUGCUCACUAGACUUAAGUUUUUGUCAGAAAGGUCAGGAAGCAGCUGGUAGCUGAAAAGGAACAAACCACCUCCAGCACAACCCGGAUGCAUGGCAGGGUGUGCUUGCAAAGCAGUUAUAGAGUGAUGGGCAUCCAAGGAUGGGUAAUAUGACCUUUUUCCCUAACAUGACCUAAGUUAAUAUGACCUAUUACUUAUUUCCUAGGGAUUGUCAGGAAAAUAGGUCAGCGAUUUGUGGGGAUGAUGAAUUGUCCUCUUUGGCUGCAGAUAGAUAUGCAUAGAAAGAGCUCUAUUUGAUGACAUGAAUUAAUCAUCAAAAUUUAUGGGUUUUGACAGGACAUUGAAACCAUAAGUACCAUGAAUUUGAUAUUUUAAAGACCGAAAAUAUAGGCAAGGAGAGAUAUUAUAUAUGUGGAUUUCUUAGAGAAGAUUCAUAAGUGAGUAUGCAACAGACUUGGGUCUGUGGAUCUUUCUUUGAACAGUGACAGGCUGACAUGCAUGAGAUCUGUUCAAAACUAGCAGAAAGACCAGCUAGAUGGGGUGAGUAUUGUUAGGGAAUUAUUAGGGAAUCUAAGACUAGGGCCAGUGGGCAAUGCAAAGAAGGUGGCAGUGGAGGAUAAGCCAUCUGUUGGUGAGCUGGUGCAUGCAUUUUGUCAGAUGUUACUACAUAUCUCAAUUGGUUGUGUGGCCAGGAGUUGUUUUCUGACUGCUGAGGAAGUAUCAUGGCAGCUGGCAGCUGGGGUGUGAAUGAACAUCUGAAGAUUUGUGAAGUCAGUUGCAUUGAAAAGAUCAAGGAGUAGCAACUGGAGACUUGAAAUCUUGUUGUGUAAAAAGGACAAAAAACUGUGUGGAAUUUAUACUCUGAACUCUGGGGAAAAUUUUAGGAUAGGGCUCUGGAUCUCACUGGUUUAAUAAAAAGCACAAAACAAAUCACACGAAUAAGUAUACACCCCACCAGGAAAAGGAAAAAGUCCUGCUCAGCAAUGCAAUCAUGUUUAGAAGAUCAAGACGUAUGGGGAUAAUGAGACAUGCCAAAAGUCAGUCUAGCCAGACUUUGUAAAGGAAAUUAAACAAAUAGCAAAAGGAUAUUCAGCUGUAUAAAUAAAAAGAACACAGGAAAGCAUAAGUGAGUUCACUACACAAUAAUGACAGGGCAGAGACUAAAGCUAAUCUAGCCAUGUCCCCAAAAGUAAAUGAACACAAAUACAAACUGAUGUCCUUGGAGCUUAAUAAGAGGAGUUUCUUCUGUAGGCUGGAGUUCAUUAGUUGUCAUUGGUAGAAGAGUAAAACUACCUUAUACUAUGGUCCACAAUAGUUAAUAGAAGUCUUGCAUGAACUCCAAUGAGGUUGUCACGUUAAGAAGGGGGGAUUCCUCGAACCCUUUAUAUUUGAUCAGCCUGUCAGUUUCCCAAGAAAGAUGAGACCCUUAUCUCUGGCCAGCCUGUCCACUACCUGUGUCUUGACAGCCCACUGUAUUGGAGAGUGAUUUGAGUAACCUUUUCAGGGACCCCUGCUGACAGCAUCACUGAGUCAAAACCCUUAUAACAGCUACCCAAAUUCCUGGACAUUUAUACAAAAUGAACUUCAGCUAAAGAUCUUUAAUUAUACAAAAUGCAAGUUUGUGACAGAAUAAGGUUCCAAGUUUGCCGGUGAUAAUACCCUGACUGCAAAGCAAGCAGCAAGCUUAAAACAACACACUAAUAACAGCUGGCAUGAGUCAGUCAUAGAAUAAAGUUCUUACCUGUCAGGUGUCCCUAUGGGGGAGAAGACAGGUUCAGCCCAUCAACUGAUCCCAGAAGUUACGAUGGAGCUUUCCCUAACUUCUCCCCUCCUUUGCUUACUUUUUAUACUUCACAGUACAUUGCAUAUUCAUCAGACACAGGAUAGUUUCUUGCUUCUAACACAAAUUAGUACGCAUCCUCAAAUAGCACUACUAAAGUUCUUCACUAACUGUGCAUGCUCUCCGAGCAGGGUUUUGGUGUCUUUUGCGGGGAGCUAUUUGACUUGGAGGUCACAAUUUGCCACUGCCACAAUUACCUUUGUCCUAUUUUCCACUAAUUUUCUGUUGAUGUCAGUGGAUUGCAACACCUUUUCAGCUGGUCUCCUCUUAUAGCUAGACUUGAAGGCUUCUUUCUGUGUAACUUAGAUAACGGUGUUCUUUUCACUAUGUUCUUUGUCUCUCAUCCUUCUAGGGCUGACUCCCUUGGUUAGGUCCCUUCAUUCGUAACAGCUUUAGAGAGUGCGCCAGCUUGACCUAACUUUAUUCACAGAUUUGUAUAUAUUUAAACAUGAAAUCAGCAUUUGGUAAUUCGGGAGUUUAGACAACAAUUCCCCCCCCUCUGGAUUUAUUUCAGUCCAGGACCAGUUCAUUUUCUUUACAUGUAGGUGGAACUUGAGCGACUCUAGUCAUACAUAUUGUUGUUACUGACUGGUAUCACCUGCCCAGUGACGUGUGGUAGAACCUUGGAGGCAGGUAACUUUGAGAUGGAGGUAAGCAUUGGUAUUACAAUGAGAUUAUUUCACCUGAGGAAAGUAAUUUUGCCACAGUGGUUGGCUGAGCAGCAAACAUCUCAUAGAUUCUUCACAUGACAAUGUGCAGCUUCACUAUGCAGCUUAUCUAUGCAGCUCAUCAGCUGUGGUGCCAUCAAGUUCCCGUUCCAGCAGGGAGUACAACAGACCCUGGCCACAGUCUGCUCCACUCCACCCUCCGUUACCCCUAUCAGCAUGUGCUGGGCUGGCAGGGUGUGCUGCUUAGGGAGCCGCGGUAAAGUAGAUUCCAUGUGUGCCAACCAUCCUGAAAGUGAUAGCUGUAUUUUACCCUAAAAAAAGCCUUCUGUAAUACUAUGCCUCUAUUAGGUCCCAGUUUUCCCAAAUUGCCCCCCCAAGUAAUUUUCCCACAGAGGUGAGUGUCAAUCAUUCAUAACUAAUUUUUCAGCAGCACACAUAUAGAGCUGAGUGAUAUUGAUAUGAAAAGCCAUCAUCAGGUCUACAGAUAAAUGGCUCAAUUGCAAUUGUGUGAAAAGAAUAGAAGCAGUGGGAUUGAGGGGUGUUGAUUCCGUGUGUAUUGCAGCUUUGAUAUAUCAUGUGAACUACAGCUAUUUAGGCAGUGGAUGAACAAAUUACCAGUAGCAAUGUACGUAACAUGUACAUCCUGGGCUUGGAUCUCUACUUUCACCUCUGGUUGCCGUUAUCUGACAAUGCUGUUGCAUGGCAUAUAGAGAUGCGAGGAUAGACAAAGGGUUCUUAUUUACCAAAUUUGUACUAUUUUACAGGGGGUGACAGUAAUGAGUUUUCCAAUAUCCAGAGACAAAUAGGUCUGAAAUAUUAGAUAUUUCGCUUAGACUGUGCUUGCUAAUUCCCUCCUGCAGUUUUUCAAUUGCAUAUACUGAACUGACACAGUCAAGUUUGAUCUCUUGUAGCACACUUUUUGCAGCAGCAGUUUUCAAUGCUGAAUCACUUCCCUUUCCUGUAGGUAGUUUGAACUGAGCAUUGCAAAAAUUGACGUGGUGGUUCCUCUUUCCUGGGCUUAGGGAAACUGCCGUAUUGUUAUAGGGAAGAGAAGGUAAACAAUACUUUGAAAAUUUUUGUAAUACCUCUUUAUGAAGAUGAUUUACUACCUUCAAUACAUAAGCUCCUACACAUUGAAUCAAUGCACAGGUCCCAAUGUACUGGACUGUUUCCUCACACAAAAAAGCCUGUGUCUCAAACCCUGAUCUAAAAACUGUUAAUUAGGAAAUUUCUUCCAUAUAUACUAGCUGAUUUUUUUUUUUUGUCUUACAAGAGCUUGGAAUGAAUCAGACAUAUAAAGUGUGGGGAAUUAAAAAUAUAAUUUCCAGUUCUCAGAUGGAUUUAUUGGAAUAUAAAGUGUUUAAAUAAUUGCCUGAGGCUGCACUAGUCGAUUUGUUCCACCGGGAAGAGUUUGUGUCCAGCCCAGGAUCCUAGGCCCACAAGCACAUCCCUUCACUCAAAGUGGUGUUUUUAAUUCAGAAUAGUUGACUCUGGUAGUAUAGGUUAAUCACAAAUAAAGCACCAACACAAGCACCAAAAUGUCACUUUAAAGCCUGCAGUCUUCUGUUAGUAUCCAGCUGUUCCAACAGUGGAUUAUAGGAAGGACAAAGAAAGACUCUCACAAUUCUUUGGAAAACAAUCCUUAGAGUACUUCAGCUUAAUACUGUGCAAAGGUACUCCCUCAGUUGCCUGAGUGCAAUGAAAAUAAAGAUGGUAUAAAUGAAGCCACAGCAGCUUGAAUAUGAUUUCAAAGCCUGGGUAGCUCUCAUUCGAGGAAGUCUAACUUGAAACAGGUAAACUAAAUAGCUCUGGUAAAUCUUCAAUACAGAUUUAUGCACCUGAGAAUCUGAAGAUUGAACUCAGAUAUUUUGAGACUCAACUGCAAUACUUUAUCCAUAAGAAAUAUCCCUUUCUUUCCAAUAAUGGAAAAUUCUAGUCUUGGAUAGGGAAGGACUUACGUGAUAAGAUGUCUAGCUGAGUGUUUGCAGUAAAAUUUACACAUCUAGCAUAAACAAAAUAUUUAUCAUGAUUUAAAAUUUUAAUUGCAUUAUAUAUAAAAUAUUGAGUCCUAAGACAUAUUGAUGUCUUAAGAAAAACAGAACAUACAAUAAUACUAGAAAGUAAGAUCAUUCCAAAGAUGUCCUUUUUUUGUGUGUUUUUAAGGUGGUUAAUAUUAAUUUGAAUUUAUUUAGGUGGGUUUUUUGGGUAGUCAGACACUUUUUCUCUGAAUAUUGAAAGUUUCUGACAAUAAAAAACAAAAUUAAAAGCUUUGGUAAAAUUAAGAUUGUUAUGUAAUGGCCAUUAUGGUGUACGCUGUUUGUCCUAAAAUGUGAUCAAAUAUUGCUUACAGCUAUGAAUAAUUUUUAAAAAAACGGUUGUUGUUAACUUGAAUAAAAAACUUGUUGAUUUAAGACAGUCAGACCAACAUUGACUUGAUGAGUCCUGUCAGUGCUUUUGGAGAUAAAUUUCCUUCCAGUGGUGUACAAAAUUUAUAAACUUUUUUUCUAGUACUAAAAUGUUGUCUAGAUUAUAUGGACCUAGCACUUAAUUUUUUUUACAUUUACGAGGGUCACUUUGUACUGCUGCUUCAUGCAGAUUGUUCCUACUUAGCUUAAUGGUCUCUUUCUUUUUUCACUCCUGACCUCUUGAGUCUACUGCUGUUUGUAAAAUCUUUUCUGUAAUCACCAUUUAGCAACCAUUAUUUAGUGACCAUUUUUAUUGAUUUUUUAUAACUGUGUAUAUCACUGGAAGAAAUGUUUAAUGAAAUAAAAUUAAUUCCUAUCUUAGGGCAGUGUUAACAGAGAGAACUUUCACAGGAAUGUAUUUCACUUUGAAAAAAAUAAAGGUUUAAUAGCCUAUCUGAACACCACCUCCCCCCCAAUAAAAUGCUCUUCUACUUAUAAUCCCCCUUGAUUCUUUGAUCUGUUAACUCUUUUGUGUUGUUUUUAUUUAAAAGUCAAGACUAGUGCUGAGACAAAUAUUUGUAAGUCAAAAAUAAGGCUAGGGCUGGUUAAAAGGGCUGUUUUUUUCCUCAUUUGUGGAGGAAUGGGACGACUGAAACCUGCAGCAGUGUAUGUUAAUUUCUGCAUUUCAUCUUGCAUUUUUAGUGCAGAGCAAGGGACAAAGGUAGGUUCGUCUCUGCUCUCUUUCACAGAAAUCCUCAUUAAAGUCUGUGUUUUCAGACAGUGAAACCCCUGGCCACGUGAAACCAUAACCUUCAUUCUUUCUGUUGAAUGUUGACCUGUCCACCUUGGGCAGAUGAACUAUAUCUACCUCACAGCUUGUAUAACUUUCUGUCCAUUUUUGUCAUACUUCAGCAAACUCUGCACCUGUGCUUCUGUGUUGUACUUUCUAGUUCAAUAUACGCUGAGUGUAACAGAACCAUAACAGGGAUUUAAACUGAAAAGUUUGCAAGGAAUGGUAACAUCAUAUUUUCUAUUCCUCAGCAAUGAAUGGGGAGAGGCUAAACACGAAUAAUGGUUUAUAGUAUAAAACACCUGUUAGCAGCUGGUGCUCUGCCUUGAAUCUGCAGCCUGGCAAUGCUGACAGAUUACCUUUUUGUGUUGCUUGGUGCCCAUCAACUUGCUGCAACUAGCUGUACUUCAGGCACCGUGCGUGUUUACACUGAGAAAUAAAUACUUUAACACCUGCAUGUUAGAAAUAUAGAGACACAUUCAUCUUCAUUUUGUGACGUGAUUGCCUUUUGUGUUAAGAAAUCAAAUACCUAUAGCUAUGUUUCAAGAAGAGGAAUUGGAAGUACCUCCAACUCACACACUUAUCUCACUUUCAUGAUUUGCUGUCACUGUAGAGACAAGCAUUGCUUCAAACAAGUGAUCCACCUGCCAGAGUAUAACACUUUGUAUAGCUAAAAUUUCACCUCUAGAUGACAGACUGUAAGUACAUUCCCAGGGUGAGGUCAUAACUGGUCAGUGGUGGGGAGGUCCACGUUCUACCCCAGCCAUGGUACAGUGGCAUCUCUCAUCCCCUGAUGUCCAACCCCGGUACUUUCUUGCACUGUUUAGCUUCUUUCAGCCACUAGCUUGAAUUUUACUUAAGGCACUACUCAAACCUUUAUGUAGUGUAGUUUAGUUCUUUUCGUAGUUGUUUUUUCCCCUAUUUUUAUUCUUCAACAUUUAAAUUUACUUCCUUUUCUGGGACUCUUUUUACUCAUACAGCUUCUACAGCUAUGCCAUCUGGCUUAAUGUCAUUUUUCACCUGAGGUGAUGCUUCAGAUUAGUUCAAGAAAAGUACUUUGAGAAACUUCAAAACUUCAUCUUUAGCUCUGUACUAGAAAUUUGAAUUCAAGUGCUUAGUUUUUUACUUUGGCUCCACAGCCUUCAAAGAAGAACCCAUUCAACUUGUGAUUUGUACUGGGUUUGCAUGGCAAUGUUUUGGUAGUGGGGGGGCUACAGGAGUGGCUGCUGUGAGAAGCUGCCAGAAGCUUCCCUGUGUUCGACAGAGCCAAUGCCAGCCGGCUACAGGACAGUCCUGCCACUGGCCAAGGCUGAGCCCAUCAGUGAUGGUGGUAGCGCCUUAUGGGAUAACAUAUUUAAGAAUGGGGGCAAAACCCUGUGCAACACCAGCAGCAGCCAGAGGAGAGAGGAGUGACACCCAGGUCAGUGCAGGAGGGGCAGGGGGUGCUCCAGGGGCUGGAGCAGUUUUCUGAUAAGCCAUACAUCAAGCCUUGGAAAGGAUUGUACUUCUACAGCUAAUGUCUUGGUUAAAUAUGUGGAAAUAAGCACUCACUGAAUUGACACAUAAUUCACCUUGUCUAUAUUUAUACACCUUUUGGUUGAUUCUUCUCUGGACAAUUAGAUGACCAUUUUUAUUUCCACAGAUGACUAUUUUUAUUUGUUUCCUAAUUUUCUUUGGCAAUACUUAUUUCCCCAGUGCAAAUGAAAACACACAUUGUAAUGUUACUUGUCAAAAGAUUUCUUGAAUGCAGAUGUUGGCAACAUCCUGCAGAAAAGGCUAAUUGAAUAAAGUUGUAUUGAACCGCUGUGAGAAAGAAAAUCGUGUAAAUACAUAAAUGAGAAUAUAUUACACCACUAAUAUUCAGGUACCACAAAAAUAUUUAAUGUUGUAGCAAAGUAUUUGAAAUACGUCAUGGGACACUUACCAAAAGUUUGCUUGGCAAUGAACAAGCACAAAGACAGACAAUUAAACUUGCAUGCUCAUUCAAAUGGUUAUAAAAUUAGGUCUUCUGAAUGUUCAACUGUGGAAACAUACUUUAUAUUUCACUACAGAUAAUACGAAAUUAAUCUUAAGAGACACACCAAAGUUAUAUGGAUGCACGUGAUCUGUUUGGACGAAAUAAUGACUUGAUAGUGAAGAAUACAUGUAUGGGUUAUACUCCUGAUUCUGGAACAACUAUGCAUGUUAUUCUACCAUUUCCUCCCCUCCCCACCCCCCACCCCCCCCUUGCCCAUAAUUCCCUGGAUUUCAAUGGAAUGACUUGCAGAAAAAAAAGUUUUCACUGAACCUGAGGAACUAUAUCAGAUGUUGGGUUGGAAUUUCUCUUAGCUUCAGACUGUUAGACUUUAAAAUAGUAAUAACUUUCUUCCUUAUUUUUGUUAAGAUAGAACACAACUUUUUAAAGUGAUAAAUUCUUUCAGAAUUACUGGUUUUAUGCAAUACCAUACCAAAAGGUGCAAAUUGUUUAGAUAGUACUUGUAAAAAUAGACUGUAUGUUAUGUAAAGAUUCAUAUAUGACUUUUAAGUGAGGUUUUGGUUUUCUUUUGCUUGGCAGAUUAUCCCAGCUCUGAAGAAUAUCUAGAGCUUCUGGUUUUGUAGCAUUCAGACAAUCAGCGAGCCAGACUCGUCUCACUUUACCAAAAGAUGUUUUGAUCAAUUUCUGUACGAACAUUUGUCUUCAUAUAACUUGAGUAUGGCAUGAACACCACCACAUGACUGGAACAAAAUAAGGAAUACUUACAAACUAGCUUAUGUGAAUUAUAUAUAGGAAAAAAAAAAAGAGUAAAGGUAUUGUGAUAAAGAGAGAGGAGGUGGAGGAUAAUGACAACAGUCCUGGAAGUCUUUGCACAAAAAGAGGCCCCUGUAUCCAACUUGGCUAGCAAAAAAAUGAGAAGCACUAGAGAUGAGUCAUCCAGCUUUCUCUACAGGCUUGGCUUCUGCACAUGCGUAGGCAUGAGUGCGCGUUUGUGACACAUGCAGAACAAUCUACCUCACACUGUGGGUCUGACUAUGACAGCAGCCGCUGAAUGUGCUCCAAGACUGAACAUCAGCGAAGAAAAGUUAUUUUAUCUGGUCUAUAUGUAAGGCUCAUAGUGACAUCCUGAAAGGUGUUAAACAAUGUGAAAGCUGUCAAUGGUAAGCCCAUCAAACCCAGAAUGAGUUAUAAAUUUUUCAGUGAAAUAGAAGUGUUCCAUUUUUUUAUUUCUGUCAAGUCUGGGGCAAGAGUAUACUGGUUUGGGGGACGUCUUCAGUGAAAUGAAUGUAGUUGUUAAAAAUCUGAUGCUUUCCUUUUGAAUCAAAUCUUUACAAACAGACAUAUUUUACUUUAUUAGUAAUCUUGUAGUAGAAAAAUAGAUCAAGCUUGUAACAAGGGUCUUAAGACAGAUUCUUUUUUCACUGUACUUCAGCUAAAAUGUUAAGCCGUGUGUCUUUUUAUAGGUUUUAUAGCUGCUAGUUAAAAAUACAUAUGCCACUCCCUGUAAACAUAAGUGAGAAAAAGGAACAGUCUAAAAAGUGCUUUAUGGCUACAGAUCCUUAAAUAAGUGACAUUUAACACUACCAAAAAAAAAAAAAAGAAAAAAAAAAGAGAAAAAAGAACAAAGAAGAGGGCCAAUUUCAGCUCACAGGACUGCAAAGGAAACUUGAGAAACUGCCAGACUGCUGCACAGAGAAGAGGCAAGGGGAGGACUUACAGAGACAACACUCACCUGUGCAGAGUGUUGCACUUCAAUCACCUUGCACGUAUACCUUCCAUGAAAUAGAGACGCAUUACCCAAACAUUGCUGAUGCAAGACAAUUUGGGAACAGUUGCCCGUUUUGUUAGAAAACAGCAGGCAGCAGUGGCAGAGGACAUUUAGGACCAAAACCCACAGGGCCAGAGCUGAAGGCUAGAAACAUCCUUACUCUAAAGGAGCUCAAACACUUGGCUCCUGCAACUUAAUAAUGGUCAAAUAAGCCAAGGUGGGAUCCUGAGCUUCACUGCUUGCUUGAAAUUUUCCUCAUCUCUGGUAUACUGUCUGAGUCUUAGGGCUGGAUUUUUUCCAUGGUCUGAUUAGCGUUGUCUUUUUUAAUGGAGAACAAUGUCAAGGAAGAUACCAAGUAUGUAGCAGCAGCUCUUUGAUGCUCCACCACAAGCUUAAAGUGUUGGGAAUGGAGAGAAUGAGUGAUAGGUCAGAGAGCUGCAGAGACCAGACGUCUCCUGGAAGACGCGGUGUAGCUAACUCCAUCAGUGAUAUGCGGACGGAGUCAAGAAGAAGAUGGACACAAGAUAUGGAGGAUAACAAGCAGAAAGUGCAGCAAUCAACUAUCUUCAGACAGCAGAGCUGAAAGUUUGUCAAGGUAUAAGUAUAUAUAUGCAUAUCACGUUACUUAUAAAGGUGAACAAAGCUUUUAAAUUCACAUGAUGGUGCUUGCAGAUCUCCAUUUUUGUUUUAGAACAAAGAUAUAGUCAUGAUGGACCAGUAAAUGUUUUUUUUCUACAUUUUGUAGAAAAUUAAUUUUGUAGAACCUCUGAUCAACCUGGAUAUGUAUGGGAUUUUAAGUGCUUGUAAUCAAGUUAUUACUAUCUAAUGGGUUCAUUUUCAGGCAGCUAAUCCUACAGUUUCUACAUUAAGACAAAAAGGAAGUGCUUUAGCUUCAAAAAUUUCAGCAUAUUCUAAUUCCUUGAGAAAAAAAAUAAAAAAACUAAGAUAGUAAACAGACCUUAGUUUGGAGGGUAAAACUGUGCAUUUAGACAAUCUCACUAAUUAUAUAGAAUAGUUGUUCACUUUUAUUUUAAAGGAAAAAGUACACCUGUGUUUCCAUGGUAUACUCAGUAUAGCUCUGAGGAUUUUAUUUUCUAUUAGCUAAAAUCACUCUCCUUAUUUGUAAUCUGCAUCAGGUUUGCCUUCUGAAUUAGUACAUUCACCUAACAUAAUUUUCACCAAAUAAGGAAUACAUGUAAUAUAUGAUACUUAGCCAUUCUGCAAGCUUUUAUUUUUUUUCAGAUUACAGCACUGUAACAGCUGCCAACAACUGAGCAGAAAAAGCAGAAAAAGAAUGUUCAUGUCAAGUAUAAUAUGAGAAAUGUUUAAAAUCAAGAAGAAUGUUUGAAAAUGCAAAAUUUUGUUGUAAUCUUAUUUGAAUACUGUAUUGCGUAUGGGAGCAGCACAGAGGACUGAGAAUUUCUGUGGCAAAAUGUCAUCAUUACUGGAGUUUAUUAAUAUUUUUUAAAUAUAUUUUAUUGACUUUUGGUUUUUUUUUGUGAUAGUGCUUUUUUUCCUGGGGAUCUCAACAUACUUCACAGAAACUAGUUUAGUGCUUACUUAGUACAACAAUAAUUUUUAAAAAAAUUAUUAAAUGCAUUUGAAUCCAAGAUAACUAAUAAGUGAAACUUACACUGAAGGGAAAUGAAAGUGGAAUCCUGAACCAUGUCUUACCUACAGUCCAAUUCCAGUCUGUCAGAUGAAAGUGUUGUCAAGACACUUGUGUUUGACUCUGUCUCCCUCUCUAGUUAGACAAAAAUUACUAUGGCUUUUAAAGAAUAAUCAUUUCAAAUAAAGUAACCUUUUCAGUAAAUUACAAAGUGAUAAGUUAAUACAAACUCUUCCACUGCACAAAUACGUUUGCCUUUCCUGAUAUCUUAUUUGGAACUUUUGCCAGCAUGUUCAAGAUUAAGCAGAGAUGAUUUUUUGCUGGGUCAAAGCCUUAGAGAUUAUUGUGCCAGGAAAGGUCUCACUGUUUUGCUCUCUCUUUCAUUUCCUAUUUCUUGCUAUUUUUGAUAGCAGCUUCUAAAUUAGUAAAUAUCUCACUUUAGGGAGCAAGCUAUAUGACCUGAAAUGUAUUAGGCUUUUCCAAACUGAAAAUGCUGAAGUGCAGAAAGGAAAAAUAUUUUAUUUGAAAAGCACUAUCUCAGCUCUUAUCAAAGUGUAAAACCAGCAGGAAAGGUUGAUAUUUACAAUUUACUGCCCAUUUUACCACUGAUCACUUUGAUGCCAUACUACAGGGCUCCAGCAACGGGACUAGACUGCCUAAAGAGUCAGACAGCUCUAACAGUGUGAUUGCAGACCACAUCAGUUCAUAGGAUCAAAAUCUUAACACAUAUUGCUUUUCCUCUCACACUUCAUAUAUCUUCAUUCCCUGCAACUCCAUUACAGUACUUGGAACACUUUUAUCUUUCUGGUUAGAGCAUCUUCUUGAGCUUAGCAGCUACUAACAGUGCAAGUAGAGCUGCUAGUCAUGCUUAGCGUAUGAGGAUACCCCAGGCACAUACAUAUGCCCAUAGCAGACAAUGCUUGAUUAAAUCUUUGGAUAAUUGGAAGGGUUUUUAGGAAUCUGUACAAUGUAUGUCUUUUUUAAGAAUGUUUCUACAAUUUCAUUUUUUUCCCCAUUUCCAUUCUCUGCAUGCAGCCAACAGGAAAACAGUCCUCUUCCAAGGCAAAGAAAUGCUUUGUGAUGGGAACAGUUAGUAAAGAUGAUGCUUCCCUUUUAAAUGUAGUUCAUGGCAUUUCUUAGUUUUCUUAAUGAAUUCUGCUGUGGGAAACAGCCAGAAGAAGCAGCAAAGAGAAGGGGAGAAAUCUUCCUGAUCACAGAUCCUUAACAAGAUGGAACAACACCUGAGAAGGGUUUUACAAUUUCUAGCACAUUUCAAAUACUGUGACUCUGACAUGCUUGACAUCAUACCAUCAUGGUGAUUUGCUUCUGUAACUGCAUGAAGAAUAGGGAAGACAUAUUGAUUUUGUCCAAAUCGGAUCUGCUUAAUGACGUUCACUAUUUUACUGCUGCAUUUACCCCUGAUAUUCCAGCUUCUGAGUAGUUGCAAUGAACUCAUAUUAAAACCAAUGAAAUGUCACAGCACUCUCCAAACUAGCCAGCUACAACAAGGUCUUUUACCACCUCAUACCAGCAUACAUGACACUCUUCAUGUCAGUCCCUCUGCUGCCUUCUCCUCAUCUCACCUCUUCCAGGGAAUGUGUUCUCUCUCUUUUCUCUGCUUCUUCCUCUCUCCCCUUCUUCCUCAGCUGCUCUCCCUUCACUGGCUCUCAACCACUUAACAGAACCAGCCACACCUGCACCUUACCUACAUCGGCCAACUUGACAACCAUGAAGCCAACCCACAGCUGUAUAUUAUCAAUGCUAAUUAGCCCAGCCUCAUUCCUCUACAAUGAAAUGUUUUCCCCCAUUGCCAACUAAAAAAACCCAAACAACUACCCACAAUAAAAGCAACAACAAUAAAAAUAAUUUCUCAAAAAUAAGCCACCUUCUCUUCUUUUAGAAAAUGUUGUUUUCACUUUCCUUAAGUACAGAUUUUUUAACCAAAAUCUUACUGACCUGAAGUCAGUAUAGGUGAUAGUCUGCCUCAGAACAGUGAAUACUUUGAAGGUCUGCAUCUUGCUAACCACUGGGAUUUAAAGUAUUUCAUUCCAAUAAAGCAGGUUCAUAACUGGAUUAUGUAUGGCAAAUCUAUUUCUGGUUUCCUGUCUUAACAGAGAUGAUAAUAUAGAGAUAUUGGCAGGAUAGCAGAGUUUCCAUAGUGGAGAAAUAGUUGAGGGCAAUGGUUGACAAAUAUGAAAAUACAUCACCUAACAUAAUUUGAUUUGAUUGCUACUAUCACGUUGUUGUUAUUAUUUAAGUUACAUUCACAGAUAACAGUAACCUAGAUCAAUGAAAUUGAAAUAAGUAUAAAAAUUAAAUUUGCUUUAAACUCUUUUCUAUUUCUUAUGUUUUAUUCAGCUUGGCCACAGGAAA